UGCCCAAUGCAAUAAUGUAAGUUUGAAUGAAGACAGAUAAUUACUCAAAAGUUAUAUUAAGUUUUAGUUAUGAAUAAAUAAAAAUAAAAAAAGUGUAUUUAAAGA